UGGAUGAGUGGCGAACGGGUGAGUAACACGUGAGUAACCUGCCCCCUUCUUUGGGAUAACGCCCGGAAACGGGUGCUAAUACUGGAUAUUCACUGAUCUUCGCAUGGGGGUUGGUGGAAAGGUUUUUUCUGGUGGGGGAUGGGCUCGCGGCCUAUCAGCUUGUUGGUGGGGUGAUGGCCUACCAAGGCUUUGACGGGUAGCCGGCCUGAGAGGGUGACCGGUCACAUUGGGACUGAGAUACGGCCCAGACUCCUACGGGAGGCAGCAGUGGGGAAUAUUGCACAAUGGGCGAAAGCCUGAUGCAGCGACGCCGCGUGAGGGAUGGAGGCCUUCGGGUUGUAAACCUCUUUCGCUCAUGGUCAAGCCGCAACAUUGGUUGUGGUGAGGGUAGUGGGUAAAGAAGCGCCGGCUAACUACGUGCCAGCAGCCGCGGUAAUACGUAGGGCGCGAGCGUUGUCCGGAAUUAUUGGGCGUAAAGGGCUUGUAGGCGGUUGGUCGCGUCUGCCGUGAAAUCCUCUGGCUUAACUGGGGGCGUGCGGUGGGUACGGGCUGACUUGAGUGCGGUAGGGGAGACUGGAACUCCUGGUGUAGCGGUGGAAUGCGCAGAUAUCAGGAAGAACACCGGUGGCGAAGGCGGGUCUCUGGGCCGUUACUGACGCUGAGGAGCGAAAGCGUGGGGAGCGAACAGGAUUAGAUACCCUGGUAGUCCACGCUGUAAACGUUGGGCACUAGGUGUGGGGGCCACCCGUGGUUUCUGCCCCGUAACUAACGCU
rnacentral:rRNA from 1 species